UUAAGGGGUGUCCGUCGUGGACGGGCUGAGAUUAAACCCUCGAACCUGAUCCGGGUAAUGCCGGCGUAGGGAUGAAUUGAC
rnacentral:ncRNA from 1 species